GUAGCUCAAUGAUGGAGCCUCCGCUUUAUAUGUGGAAAAACCUGGGUUCGAUUCCCGGC
rnacentral:tRNA from 1 species